rnacentral:rRNA from 1 species
GACGAACGCUGGCGGCGUGCUUAACACAUGCAAGUCGAGCGGUAAGGCCCUUUCGGGGGUACACGAGCGGCGAACGGGUGAGUAACACGUGGGUGACCUGCCCUCAGCUCUGGGAUAAGCCUGGGAAACCGGGUCUAAUACUGGAUAUGACUCCAUGACGCAUGUUGUGGGGUGGAAAGCCUUGUGCGGCUGAGGAUGGGCCCGCGGCCUACCAGCUUGUUGGUGGGGUGAUGGCCUACCAAGGCGACGACGGUAGCCGGCCUGAGAGGGCGACCGGCCACACUGGGACUGAGACACGGCCCAGACUCCUACGGGAGGCAGCAGUGGGGAAUCUUGCGCAAUGGGCGAAAGCCUGACGCAGCGACGCCGCGUGAGGGAUGACGGCCU